rnacentral:lncRNA from 1 species
CCAGUGCCAUGGAAACACUAUGGGGUGGGAAUCAUUGGAGUCAGCUGAACUGGGUUGAGUUCUAUGCCACUUAGCAGUGCGCCCUUGGAUGGGUGUCUUAACCUUUCUAGUCUUGCAUCUGUAGAAUGGGAAUUACAAUACCUGUCUUGUUUUCCUCCAAGAUUAUUGUAAAGAAUUGGUGAAAUAGAUGGAUAAUCACAAGAUGCCAAGGGCACACAAUGAGAAGAAGCGAUGUAACCUCAGGCCCCAGGGUGAGGUUGGCGUCCGCUAGCUGAUGUAUUCCCCCAAUCCUGGCGGUGUUCCUCUGCACUCUUGUGCCUGUGAUGUGGUGCUGGCUGGAGGAGGAGAUAAGAAGACUGAAUGUGAAGCCAUUUUACUGGGGAGCUGCUGCCCUGCUGUCAAAGGCUCUGUGGUUGGAGCUGAGACCAGACCUUCCCUGACCAGGAGAAGCUGUGGGAGAGUUAAGAUCCCUGGAGUUACGUCUCGUGUAUGUAAGCAUCUGGUCCUAGUAUUUGUGCUUGUAGGGAACACAAUGAUUUGACCCGGAAGUGCUUGUCACAGGUCACCAGCUCUGUGGUAACCGUAGAGAAACACCUCAUGGUGUUUCCUGAUCCCUGUGGAGCUGUGGCUUGGCUUUGCCUGCAAAUCUUCUCAUCUCAUCCUCAGCCGGAUCUUGCACCUGGCUGGCUCCUUGGACCGGUUCCCUUGAAUUUCCAGCAGUCCUUGUGGGAAUGAAACCAAGGGCCUAGUUUAUUGGUGGACUCCUGGCAGAACUUCCAG